rnacentral:lncRNA from 1 species
CAUCGAUGUCGGAUGACAUCCAAAGAGCCGUGGAUGGCCGCCUCCCGCCUCUGAACCGGCUUACCUGUUAUCACUUAUCAGGCACGUUGUAUUAUGUAGAGUACCUAUAUACAGAGAGUAUGGCCACUGGGUCCCAUGGAGAGGCUUAGGACCCAAAAAUGGCGGUGCUUUGUUUUGGUUUUUGUGGAUGGGAGGGGGGUCAUUGCCAACUUUUGACGGUUAUCACCAACCGCACUCGCUGCCAACCUUACUGCAUCUGAGAUAAUUUUUUCUCGAAAAUUGCGCACGAUUAGCCUUAAAAAUAUGUAACGAGGUCGCAAUAGUGCAUUUGGGUAAAUUUCUCGUUGCGGUAAGCAAAGACAACUACAUUUUGAGGCAUUUGGCAUUAUAUUAAUUCUCGGCGUCCGCCAUUUUUGGGUCCUAAGGGCUCCAUGGAGCCUAAGAUGGCUGAGCCAAUCAGAGGUGGUAACUCCAGUGGCCAUACUCUCUGUAUAUAGGUACUCUAGUAUUAUGUAUUGUAUGGUUUUAUUGUUUACUUCUUACAGUUCACGAAACUAAUAAACCCAGACGUGAGUUUACGAGUUAUGGAUCGACAUUAUUUUUAAUUAUCAUUUAGCUCGUAUUUGCUAAUUCAUGACAGCCCUCUCUCGUCAUAGGUAGUGAAUACUCUGCCAAAUCUUCGAUCCAUACUUUCUACUAGUAUUAUUCUGUCACCAACUCUCACACCAUGCUCAAUUCAUCGUUCGGAGACGAAACCAUUGAUGGACUUGACAAAAAUGUCAAACUGUCUUUGGAUGGGCUACAGCUGAAGCAGUAUCAUGAGAAUUUCCGGAAGCAUAGGAUUGACAUUGAUCUGUUCUUCACCCUCACUAAUGACGACCUGAAAAAUAUUGGCAUUGAAGAUGAAGAACACCGUAAAAUUCUGGUGAAAGCAACCACAAAACCCGCAAUGGCAGUUCAAAACGAAUCUAUUCGUCCUUUAAAGAAAGAGGAAGCUGAUGCAAUUCUAACUAACUCAUUCAAAUACCUGACAGUGCUGAAAUUGUUUAUAAAAGAACUAGAUCCCACAAGAAAGAAGAAUGAAAUUAGGAAUACCGCAUUGAAUUCUGAAGCCUCUGCUGCUGAUGGAAUAGUUACAUUUAGUAAUGCAGCCAUCAAAUGUCUCCAGGAUCUGAGACUGCAAUACUGUACUCUUCUUCCUGAGGAUUCAUUGAAGAAGGCCAAAAGAAAAUCUGCUUGGAUCACCAGGAGUGUCCCAGUCCUUGCGGUCUUAUUAACUGGAGCUUUGGUCUCUCAUUUAAUCUGGCGUAAAUUGAACAAACCAAUUUAGCAAAAACUUUGAUCAUGUGAUACUUGCUUCUUCCUCUCUCUUCCAUAAAAAAACUAGUGUCUUAAAAAAGUGUGAUGAAAAUGUCCUUUUCAGAGAACAAAUAUUAUUGGGACGAUGCAUUGGCUACAUCAGCUACCUGAACAAUCUAAACAAGAAUGAAGCAAAAAAAUGCAAGUGUGCAGCAUUGUUUUUUACUUAGUGAUGAUAUGUGAUGAACUCAUAAAGCAUUUCAGUUGCCUUGUAAAGAUUGAUGGAUAUCAAGACUAAGCAGUGUUGGGUAAACUAGGCCCCGUUUGUCAAAAAAAUUGCUCAAUACAUUUCUCAUCAACCAACAUCAGCCCAGAAGAGCAUUGAUCCCCACUAAUAAUUUUUAUCCUAUGAGAAGUGUGUACUUAAUUUGGGAUCUCUUAAAUAUACAAUUUUUUCCCCCCUCCUGAAGUACCUAACUUCAAUUUAAACACUAACUUGAUCUCAGUCUGAACAUUUGGGUAUGAAUUUGGUACCUACAGAAGAUGGACCCAUAUCCUUUCUAGAAGUACAAAAUGUUAAUGAAUUCAUAUUUUUUACGCAUUUAGGAUUAAACAUUUGUCGUCAAUAUUAUAUAUUUUUGUACAAUAUGCAGACGCUUGUUCCAACAUUUUUAUUUUUGUAAAAAAUUGGCUUCAUAUGAUAAAAAGCCUGUUUUGUAAAAAUGUAAAAACAAAUUUGGACCCAUUGUGAAUAUGAUUUUUGUAAUGAUUAAAAUUCCAUAUUUUUCCACUUUUUUACAAAAAAUUUUUGUUGUAUUCAUUUUGAAUCGGACACCUUCUUUUACUAAAAUAAUCAUCCAUCAGAUCCAUAGCUUUUUUCUGAAUCAGUGGGUAAAAAGCAGAUAGCC